AAGGGCUCAUUUUGCGAAAUUCUUCAAAUAAAGGCUCAUUUUGCGAAACGACAGCUCAUAUAUCUAAAAGAUUCAGGUUUAGAAUGUCGCCGCCCAUUAAGCAAAAUUAAGAAUUUCAAAAUACUCCUCAUCCAACAUUUUGUUGCAAAUCCCCCAAUAAUAACCGAAAACGUUAUUAAUCUUUGUCUUCUUGAGUUUUAUGUUCCGAACUAAUUGCUUAAAUGCUUUUACUGCCAAUUCUAGCUUGUCCUCUUCUGUGUAAUAAGAAAGGCAUCGAGUGCUUACAUGAACAACUUUGUAGAAUUCCUCGAUCGUCCAGGCAUCAUCAAAGAAGCAUUUCACAAGGUUCGUAAACGCAGAAGGGAUUUUAUUAC
rnacentral:antisense_RNA from 1 species